GGGGGUAUAGCUCAGUGGUAGAGCACAUGCUUAGCAUGCACAGGGUCCUGGGUUCAAUCCCCAGUACCUCCA
rnacentral:tRNA from 1 species